CCAGUGCCUCAUGUUUCUGGAAACGCUGCAGCAUUUGACUUCAAUUUUAACCUGGAUAACGCCAAAGCUUUUCCUCAAAUUCGCCACAGGAGUAAGCUCACAGAUGCUCUGAUUUUGUUUAUCGUUGCUCUUCCUUAAUAUCUCUCGCACAGGUGCCGUUGACCUUUAGAUGGGCUGUACAGUGUGGGGUUUGGUGCCAUGGAUCUGCUUCUCCAGGGACCAGGAUCUUGAGAUCUUCAGGCUGGGUUUCCAUGGAGGCAUGGAGCUGCUUUUCCUCCUUCAUAACUGCACUCAAAACAGCCCUGUUGCUCUACAAUGGAGACUUGGGCAACUCCUACUGGCACAGAUUUGUUCACCUCAGGGGAAAUUCAGAUAGAAGCAAGCUGCAGGCAGUUUCACCUCUAACUCCAUGGGUUCUCAACUGGUAAUGUCCUCUUAUGGAUGUUAGGCCACGAGGUCAAUCCUGUAGCAAUCUAAGGCUGAGAAGAAUUAAUCUUCUGGAAAAUUCCAAGAAUACAUCUUAGGGAAACUGGCUCUACCUUUAUGACUUGGAUAACACAAAGAUACGCUUUUCAUGUUGGACUAGAACUCAGAGUAUUGGCCAAUGGAUGUGUUUUCUUAAACUAUCCCAGUGGGUUCACCAUACAGAUGAAGAUUCUGAGAUUCAAGACGCAAGACUGAAAAAGAUCAUUAUUUUUAUUAUUUUAGUCUGAUGCACAAAAUGGUAUCUACUGAAUAGGCAGUAGGUAGAUUAAAAAUCUACCUAUUUUUAAUAGGUAGCUUAUAUAUAUUAGCAAAAGUGAACACUUUGUCUUUUAGAUCUAUUCCAGUUUUUCAGUAGCUGUAGACUUAAGUGCUAACUUUUAGCCCAUAGGAUAAGAAGAAACCAAGCCUAAAAGUAGGCCAGCACCAGGAUUCAGGCCUCAGACUUCAAGCCAAGGGUUCAUCAUCUUCAAUCAUGCACGAAUUUUUGCAUAGCGCCAGAGGAAACUGCCUGUACUUACUGUUGUAGGUGCUUUGCUGGAUUCAGGAUGCAGACAAGGUCCACGCACUGUGGUUGGAUCAAUGACUAGAUCUUUACCUGGUCCACAGUCCUCCCCAUUCUGGCUGCAACCUCUCAUGAGGCUGAGCUCACCAUGAACCCCUGCUCUAGGCAUCUGCAUGGUGCUCUGUUUGCCCCUAUGACUGUCUGCCCCCUCUUUGACCUGUUGGCAUGUGCUUAUCCUCCAGACCUCAGUCCAAAGUUCAGUCCUGGAGCAGACACAGCCUUGUUUGCAGAGAGCCAACAUUCUAAUACGGUGUAUGGUGGGAAACAGUGAACAGAGGGAAAUAGUGCCAAUGUCAGAGAGCCACAGUGCAGUGAAGAAGAGAAGGCAAGAGGAUGUGAUGCAAAAUCACAGGACUUGGCUUCCAGACCAUUCUGCUUCCAUGAGAACAUUUUAGUUGAGAACCGGAUGGCAUGAAACUUUAUUUAAGUAUCAGAAAAUCAUUUUCUUAAGAGGUGGUAAUGGAAUCCAUGUAAUUGAAAGAAAUCAACAGAAAAAAAAAAUGAUUCAGAAGAGAGGGGACUAGCCUAAGGACCACUGUGAUACUGUGAAAUAUAUAUAGGUCUUCAUCCUGUGUCCUGGCAUACAACUCGUAAAACCCUUGGAAUAUCCAAAAGCAUGCUUUUCAUGGGCAAAUGAUUGACUGAUGUCUUCAGGAUGAAGCCAAUCACCAGAAAGAUCAAAGCAUAAUUAGAGUAUUGGGACUUUUCAGCCACAUCCCACACUCCUGACCUUUGGGGAGGAGAGACUGGCAGAAGGUUGAGUCCAUCACCAAUAGCCAGUGAUAUAAUCAGUCAUGCCUAUGUCAUGAAGCUUCCAUAAAAAUCCCAAAAGACUGGGUUUGGAGAGCUUCUGGAUAUCUGAGCACAUGGAAGUUCCUGGAAGGUGGUCGCUGGGGUGGGCAUGGAAGCAUCUCAUCCCUUCCCACAUGCCUUGCCCUAUGCAUCUCUUCAUCUGUAUCCUUUAAAAUAUCUUUUGUAAUAAACUGCUAAGCAU